GAACCCUUGAGCCGCUCCACGUUGCACCUCCGCCCCACCACCUCUCCACCGUCAGGCUCCCCCCUCCCCGCUGUUGCCCGCAGGUCGCCGGACAGGGGCAUUUCCCGCUCCCACCCGACUCCUUCGCUGCAGACACGGGGCGCCUUCAUCUUUCCAGCCCAAUUACUGCUGAACGACCGCAUAUCGGGCUUGGAGCGUGGGACCACAACCUUCACACUUCUGACCCAGGCCCUUUACUGUCAGAAAGAGCACCUGUGGCGAUUGGGCGUGGGGGGGGGGAGGGUUCCAUUUGCGAGGCUUUAAAAGUCUUGCCACCCAGCCGCCCACCGCGAACCCCUGGCGUUCAGCAGUUUACUCCUAGACGCUCGCCCAACGCCAGGUCCCAGUCCGCCGCUAGGAGGCACCCGCAGGGGCGUGCAGGAACUCGGCUGUGGCGAAAACAACGCUGUGCUUGAGUUAGCUCUUCCAGGCGGGCUCUAGGACAGUGAAUGCCAACCCAGGACAAGGAAGCCGCUUUACUACGUUCCAUUUUCAAGGCCUGAAGAGGUUCUCUGUAUGACAUACAGUUUUCCAGUUAGUGCUUGUGUAUUUCAAUCACUUAUUUAUUCGUUGAACAUAUGCAUUACGGGGGAGCAUCUUGGUUUUAGCAGCUUUGUGUGGAUGGUAUGGGUAUCCGAAGAUGUUUGAAAGAAAUCAUUGGCAACAGUUUGUGCUGGGGAUGAUGAUCGCAGUGGGGAUCUAGAGAGCUUAUGAGUCCCCUGAUGAAAAGCUGGAAACAUCCCGAGUGGGAAAUCAAAACAACCAGACGUGUGGACAAAGGACACCAUCUCCAGACUGGACUGAAUGUCUUACCGAGAAAGAGAAAUUUUAAAUCAAUACAUGAAAGUAUAAAUAUGAAAAGCACCGGAACAGUGACCUGCACAUCUCUGAAGAUCCUCUCCCCAGUGAAACAGCUCUACCUGAUAAAAACUAUUUUUAUUUUGUUUUGAAAUUUAUUUUUCGCUGUGAUGAGCUUUAUUUUUAAAAAUUAAAUGAUGAUGUAAUUUUUAGUUUCAAUAGACCUGGGGGUAGGAAUAGUUUUUGGCUCUGUGGAUGAAUUUUAGACUGCUAAAGUCUGAGAUUUUAGCGCACCCUUCACCGAGUAGUAUACACUGUACACAAUACGUAGUGUUUUUUAUCUCUCACUCCUUUUUCUGGCUUCUGAGUCUCCAAUGUCCAUUUACCACUCUGUAUGCCUUUGCGCACCCAUAGCGUAGCUCCCACUUAUGAGUGAGAACAUACGGUACUUGCUUUCUCAUUCCUGAAUGGCUUCACUUAAAAUAAUGGCCUCCUAGCUCCAUCCAAGUUGCUGCAAAAGACAUUAUUUUGUUCUUUUUUUUAUGGCUGAGGAGUAUUCCAUGGUGUAAAAAUACCACAUUUUCUUUAUCACUCAUCAGUUGAUGGCUACUUGGGUUAGUUCCAUAUCAUUGCAUUUGUGAACUGUGCUGCAAUAAACAUAUGUGUGUAAAUAUCUCUUUGAUAUGGUGAUUUCUUUUUGUUUGAGGUAGAUACCCAGUAGGAUGAUUGCUGAAUUGAAUGGUAGAUCUAUUUUUAGUUCUUUGAAAAAUCACCAUACUAUUUUCCAAAGAGAUUGUAAUAAUUUACAUUUCCAUCAGCAGUGUGUAAGCAUUCCCUUUCACCACAUCCACACCAACAUGUGCUGGUUUUUGACAUUUUAGUAAUGCUUUUGAUGGGGUAAGAUGCUAUUUUAUUAUGGUUUUAAUUUGCAAUUCCUUGAGUUUAGUGAUGUUGAGGAUUUUUUCAUGAUUUUUGGCCCUCUGUACAUUUUUCUUUAGAGAAUUGUCUAUUCAUGUCAUUUUCCCACUUUUACAUGGGAUUUUUCUUUUCUUGCUGAUUAGUUUUAGUUCCUCAUAGAUUCUGGGCUAAUGUCCUUUGUCAGUGCUUAAUUUGCAAAUAUUUUCUUCCCAUUUGUGGGUUGUCUGUUUACUCUGAUGAUUAUUUCUUUUGUGGUGCAGAAUCUUUUACUUUAAUUAGGUCCAUGUAUUUAUUUUUGUUUUUUCUGCAUUUGCUUUUAGGGUCUCAGUCAUAAAUUCUUUCCCUAGACCAAUGUCCAGAAGAGAUUUUCCUAAGUUUUCUUCUAGAAUUGUAAAGGGUUUCAGGUCUUAGCUUGAAGUUUUUGAUCCACUUUGAGUUGAUUUUUGUCGUUGAUGAGAAAGAGGGAUCCAAUUUUAUUCUUCUUUAUGUGGUGAUCCAGUUUUCCCAGCACCAUUUAUUGAACAGGGUAUGCCUUCCUCAAUUUACGUUUCUGUAUGCUUUGUUGAAUACCAGUUUGUUGUUAAGUAUUUGGUUUUAUUUCUGUGAUUUCUAUUCUGUUUUAUUGGUAUGUAUCUACUUUUAGACCAGUGCCAUGCUGUUUUGGUUACCAAAGACUGCUUUUUUUUUUUUGAACCCAACUAUUUAAAGCCUCUGGCAUCAUCCUAAGGGCAUAUAGCAAAUGAAUAAAUAUUUUAUUCAUAAAAUCUAACAAAUAUUCUUAAAAAAAAAUGUGAGUUUGUGGCAUUUGAAUCACUAAUCACUCAGUCCCCACCCCUAACUCAGUGUGACAGAAGCUGUACUCUUGGGAGAUGUGGCCAAGAAUACAGAAUCCUUCUACCCCAGUUAUGAGUCCAUGAUUUUGUUUUUUGGUUUUUUUUCCGAAAGGUGCUUGGCCUCCAUCAUGUUCAUACAUAGUUCACCAAGGCAUGUAUGUAAACUCCAUUCUAGUAAAGUGUGUGUGGGAGGACUGGGGCUUUACCGAACCACCCACUACCCAGCCACCACUGUAAGGUGGAAGUUCUAUUUAAGUUUUAUCAGGUCCAGAAUACUGGACAGCUACUACUCCCACCUUAGCCAACACAUGGGGUGGAGGUUCCAUAUUGGGAGAGGCAAGCUGAAAAGACCAAGGGCUGCUAAUCCCACUCAGUGUCCUGCUCAUGGAGCAGGGAUGUCACUCUGAGAGAAGCAGGCUGUUGUCCUGACUCUUAGAUCUGGAGCAGUGGAACAAAAUUUCUUCCUAGGAAGAGAGGCAGGCUUUAAGAAUAGAGAACUUUGUAGCUGAUUUCAUUUGAAACAGAAAUGGGGAGAAGUUCACUAUGAAAAAUAAUGGAGAUCUUGGUAAUAAGCAAUUAAGAGAAAGCUGCUACCUCCACUAUAGCAAACAACUAAAUAGUAGACCAGCUAGAAAAUAAAGAGACAGCCAGGAAAAAAGACUCAAAAAGGAGUCCUCCUACAGUUGCAGGAGGUCUCA